AUUGAACGCUGGCGGCAGGCCUAACACAUGCAAGUCGAGCGGAUGAAGGGAGCUUGCUCCUGGAUUCAGCGGCGGACGGGUGAGUAAUGCCUAGGAAUCUGCCUGGUAGUGGGGGAUAACGUCCGGAGACGGGCGCUAAUACCGCAUACGUCCUGAGGGAGAAAAUGGGGGAUCUUCGGACCUCACGCUAUCAGAUGAGCCUAGGUCGGAUUAGCUAGUUGGUGGGGUAAAGGCCUACCAAGGCGACGAUCCGUAACUGGUCUGAGAGGAUGAUCAGUCACACUGGAACUGAGACACGGUCCAGACUCCUACGGGAGGCAGCAGUGGGGAAUAUUGGACAAUGGGCGAAAGCCUGAUCCAGCCAUGCCGCGUGUGUGAAGAAGGUCUUCGGAUUGUAAAGCACUUUAAGUUGGGAGGAAGGGCAGUAAGUUAAUACCUUGCUGUUUUGACGUUACCAACAGAAUAAGCACCGGCUAACUUCGUG
rnacentral:rRNA from 1 species